UGUAAAGAGGGAUAGGAGAAUUGGAGGGCAAGUUUGGUGCCAGCAGCCGCGGUAAUACCGACUCCAAGAGUGUGUAUGAGAGAUGCUGCAGUUAAAAAGUCUGUAGUCAUAGAAGGGCAAAGAGAGAUGCGAGGUCUCACAGUGCGAUGAUGGAGGAGCCGAUGGGGAACAUAGUAUACCAGGGCGAGAGAUGAAAUGCCAAGACCCCUGGUGGACUGAGCGAGGCGAAGGCGAUGUUCUUGUAGGCAUUCGGUGAUCAAGGACGAAGGCUGGAGUAUCGAAAGUGAUUAGAUACCGCAGUAGUUCCAGCAGUAAAAGAUGCCGACAUGCUCAUUGGACACAGUGGGCAGGGAGAAAUCUUAGAGUUCGGGCUCUGGGGAUAGUAUGCUCGCAAGGGUGAAAAUUAAAGAAAUUGACGGAGCUACACCACAAGGAGUGGAUUGUGCGGCUUAAUUUGACUCAACGCGAGGAAACUUACCAGGGCCAAGUAUUGUGUAGAAACGAGCAAUACAGGAGUGGUGCAUGGUCGUUGGAAAUUGAUGGGAUGACUUUGACCUUAAAUGGUUGAAUGAGUGAGAUCUUUUGGACAUGUUCCGCACGGAACAGGAAGGAAAAGGCUAUAACAGAUCCGAGAUGCCCUCAGAUGCCCUGGGCUGCACGCGCAAUACAAUAGCAGGUAGAGAGAGAGACAGGAAGGUGCUCAGAUGGACUAUGUGCUGUAAGGCACAUACGAAAGAGGAAUUCCUAGUAAGUGUGUAUCAACAAUGGAUAUUGAA
rnacentral:rRNA from 1 species